rnacentral:rRNA from 1 species
GACGAACGCUGGCGGCGUGCUUAACACAUGCAAGUCGAACGGAAAGGCCCUGCUUUUGUGGGGUGCUCGAGUGGCGAACGGGUGAGUAACACGUGAGUAACCUGCCCUUGACUUUGGGAUAACUUCAGGAAACUGGGGCUAAUACCGGAUAGGAGCUCCUGCUGCAUGGUGGGGGUUGGAAAGUUUCGGCGGUUGGGGAUGGACUCGCGGCUUAUCAGCUUGUUGGUGGGGUAGUGGCUUACCAAGGCUUUGACGGGUAGCCGGCCUGAGAGGGUGACCGGCCACAUUGGGACUGAGAUACGGCCCAGACUCCUACGGGAGGCAGCAGUGGGGAAUAUUGCACAAUGGGCGGAAGCCUGAUGCAGCAACGCCGCGUGCGGGAUGACGGCCUUCGGGUUGUAAACCGCUUUCGCCUGUGACGAAGCGUGAGUGACGGUAAUGGGUAAAGAAGCACCGGCUAACUACGUGCCAGCAGCCGCGGUGAUACGUAGGGUGCGAGCGUUGUCCGGAUUUAUUGGGCGUAAAGGGCUCGUAGGUGGUUGAUCGCGUCGGAAGUGUAAUCUUGGGGCUUAACCCUGAGCGUGCUUUCGAUACGGGUUGACUUGAGGAAGGUAGGGGAGAAUGGAAUUCCUGGUGGAGCGGUGGAAUGCGCAGAUAUCAGGAGGAACACCAGUGGCGAAGGCGGUUCUCUGGGCCUUUCCUGACGCUGAGGAGCGAAAGCGUGGGGAGCGAACAGGCUUAGAUACCCUGGUAGUCCACGCUGUAAACGGUGGGUACUAGGUGUGGGGUCCAUUCCACGGGUUCCGUGCCGUAGCUAACGCUUUAAGUACCCCGCCUGGGGAGUACGGCCGCAAGGCUAAAACUCAAAGGAAUUGACGGGGCCCCGCACAAGCGGCGGAGCAUGCGGAUUAAUUCGAUGCAACGCGUAGAACCUUACCUGGGUUUGACAUGGAUCGGGAGUGCUCAGAGAUGGGUGUGCCUCUUUUGGGGUCGGUUCACAGGUGGUGCAUGGCUGUCGUCAGCUCGUGUCGUGAGAUGUUGGGUUAAGUCCCGCAACGAACGCAACCCUUGUUCACUGUUGCCAGCACGUUAUGGUGGGGACUCAGUGGAGACCGCCGGGGUCAACUCGGAGGAAGGUGGGGAUGACGUCAAGUCAUCAUGCCCCUUAUGUCCAGGGCUUCACGCAUGCUACAAUGGCUGGUACAGAGAGUGGCGAGCCUGUGAGGGUGAGCGAAUCUCGGAAAGCCGGUCUCAGUUCGGAUUGGGGUCUGCAACUCGACCUCAUGAAGUCGGAGUCGCUAGUAAUCGCAGAUCAGCAACGCUGCGGUGAAUACGUUCCCGGG